rnacentral:tRNA from 1 species
GGUGGCUCAGUGGUAGAGCACUUGCCUUGCAUGCUUGCCGCCCUGGGUUCAAUUCCUAGCACCA